rnacentral:lncRNA from 1 species
AAAUAGCAAAAAUAUAAUUCCUGGAUUGUUGAUCAUAGAAUGAGAAGUUCACAAAUGAUGUUUUCAGUUUAUGUAAGUAUAGUCAAGCUUUUAACUGCCAUUAGGAAAAUGUUGUACCUGGUAAGUCUGCAAUUAGUAUUGUCUUACUAAAUAUAAUUUAUUCAUUAUCAUCAUUAUCCCCAGAUUAAAGAUUCCUACUUGAUUUCUCACCCUACAUAAUGCUUAGACCUAUAAAAAUAUAUUAGAUGCAAGUUCAUUAGAAUUGAGGCUCUGUAUAUAAAUAUAUCUUGAGUAGUGUAAUAACAGCAAACAAUUAAUUAAAAAUUCCCUUUAACUGUUUGACCAGGACCCAAGAGCUUUUCCUUCCUUCUUUCUUUUCUUCUUCCUUUCAGAUGGAUUAUUUAGCUAGUUACUGUUAUUGUAAUUUGGAUGUCUAAAGGAAAUAACUGAGAUUAUUAUAUAGCUAGUCAGAGGUUUGUUUUUUAUUUGGGGGGAGCAGGAAGGGGGUUGAUUUCUUUUGUGACCAAGAAAAACUGCUGCUUAGAAUCAAGGUUAACCUUACUUUUCUAUACCUUAUGUUACAAGUGAAGGAAGAUAAAUUAUGGUUUUGUGCUCUCCAUCGCUACCUCAAAACAGAUUUCAUUCAGAACCAAUAAUGGUUUAUAUGUAUGUAAGUAUUUACAUAUUUGCUUGAUUAAUUUAUUUCUCUGAUACUAGGUUGCAAGCUUUUUUUCUUUCUUUCAUUUCUUUAUUGUCUUUUUAGGGCUGUACCCACAGCAUAUCUAAGUUCCCAGACUAGGGGUUGCAAGAUUUCUGAUGAACUCUUAUAUGGCUCAGCUCUGGUGUGAUGGCCCAAUGCCUAGCACAGACCUAUGUGCCAGCAAUUUCUCUUGCUCUGGAGUGGUGGAGAGGAACACGUCACCAGCAGAGAACACUGUCAUAAAUUAUUAUCUGGGGAACUUCAGUUGUUUUGGUCUUACAUAGUUAUUAUCCAUGAUGUAUUAGUCACAUUUCAAAAUAAAUAUCUUAAGGUUCAAAAUUUGCUAUAAAUUAAGUCACAAUUACAUAUACUUAUGAAUAUAAAUAAUUUAUAAUAUAUAAAUAAAAAUCAUUUAUGAAUGAUGUAGAUAUCUCA